CGAAAACUAACCAGCCACAAAAAAACCUAAACCUAUCGCCCGCACGUACAAUCGACGACUCCUGCCCUAGAGCGAGGUCUCCCUUCGCCGCCGCCCUUCAUCCCUUCGCCACCGCCGCUCCACCCAGAGCCGCCGUCUUCCCCGCUGUCGCCGCCCUCUUCCCUCCCACCCCGAGCCGCCGUCUUCCCCGCCCGCGCCGCUCUCUUCCCCAUCGGUGCUACCCUCCACUCACCUUCUGUUCUUCAAGCGGGAACGCCCCAGAUCGAGUCGAGCAAGUCAGCGGGGCAGCGGCCAGAUCCGCCACGGCCACAUCUCCUUGGUGUUGUUGUCCUCAAUAGGCUAAUGACUCGAGGCAUGCUGUUAGCACAAUUACAGAAGGCCAUACAGUCAGCGGCAAAGUGCUCGCCAUCGCUAAUGAUUGACUGCUGAGUAUCUCCAUUGGGGGAUUUAGCUACCUGCUCAAAUAAGAUGGUCAAUAGUUGUUCCUGUGAUCCAUUCUAUGGAUGAAGAAGGAGAAGACGAAGGAACACAAUAAUUUCUGUGUCAUAUUAUUUGUUUCUGAUGUGGCUACUCUGGAAUACAAUUUAUGGGCGAGAGAUCAGACUUUCAGGACCCUGCUCUUUUAACUGAAAAACUGGGAGCACUAGCAGUUCUUCACAAGGAAAGUGGAUUGGACAAUGCCGCUAGCUCGGAUGGUGCCCCAUAUGGAUGUCGAUCAUGGGCGACGUGAGGAGGGACAAGGUAGAGAAAGGGGUCUGGUUGGCGCCGCAUUAGAGGUGAGAGAGGGGGCCGGGGUUGCGUCGCCGCCGAGAUGCGCGAGGGGAUCGGAGCUGUGCCAAGCGGAUUCAUCAAAGCACUUCGCUCCUGCUGCCUUUGGCUUGAUGCUUAGAUGGAUUGAUGCGUAAGUUUGAAUCCUUUCAUUUUUCACUUCUCUAAUGGGUGGCUGAUGGCCUGAUGCUUUGAUGGAUCGAUGCAUGCUAGAACUGGCUGAUAUGUGCGUGUGUGUGCACAUUUUUUUUCUUGUGAUUUUUGUAGAGAUUGGCUCAUGCUUCUCUGCUUAUGGAUAUCUUCUUUCUUCUAUCAUGCACUGACGCUGCCACCAGAAGAUAGCUCAUAGAUGCAUGUGUUUGCUUUUGAACAUGAUUUGUCGGGUCAGGGAUCCUUCAGAUUUGUCGGGUCAGGGAUCCUUCAGUUUUGUUGGAUCAGAAGUAAGAGCACCGGGACUUCAAGGACGAUGUAGAUUGUCGAAGGCUAAGUUACAGAGUGCGUGGGCAGCAGUACCAGAGCAAGAACCUCGCGCGUGACGGAGUUGCUGUGGUAAAGAAGCAAAACUCAAUGACUAACUCUACAAGCUCUGGUCACUCUCUUAAACAUCACUAACGUUGGCAUGCAUAUUACUAAAUUUGGUCAAGCAACCCGCCAACAGAUACAAAGAAGGGUUAUAUGUCUUCUGAUCAUCUUGAUGGCAUAUAUGAGGACCUGCAAUACCGAACCUGGAAGUUAGUCGUUGAGGCAGUGGUCAUGGUAGUGAUAUCUACUACCAGAACAUAAACGUUCGGCCCUCCUUUUUGCCACGAAGGAUUAUGAUCAACUGGACUUGCAGAACCAGUUAAUGGCAUGAUGCUGGCAGUAGUAAUGGAGGGUUGUGAUUUCUGGAUGGUAAAUUCUGAAUUGGAAAUGAUAUUUUCUAAUGUAUUCAUACAGUUAGAUAAUAUCAUAUAGAUUUUCUUCUCUUACCUAGAACGUCUGCCAUGUAAAGCAUGCUUCCCUUUGAUUUGCUGUUGUGCUAGGAAUAGGACGCAUUGGCGUCCUCUUUUCAUGAAAAACACUGACACAAAGUUUCUGGUUUCUGACGUACAAGGAUUAUUUACUAUGAACAAAUAUUGCAAUGUUCAUUGGUAGUACUGUUUGUUGAGGCGAUGCCUCUGCCACAGAACACGGCAUGGCUAAUUAGUAAUUGCACUACAUUCCUAAUAACUUCUAAACUUUUGGGAGGCAUGGCAAUGUUCUUUGACGUCAUUGUAAGGGACGAGGACAUUUUGUGAGAGAAUGCCAAUCUCAGCGUGUGAUGAUUUCUACUGAGGAUGGUGGGUAUGAGUCCGCUAGUGACUAUGAUGAGGAGACUUUGGCUCUUAUUACACAUGAAGAACACGGUGGAGAGGAUUCUGAUCAUGAGACACAAUACAUGG